CGUUCCCAAGCAUAUUUGAGACACAGGUUUGGAAACAAAAAUGACUUCACCGGUUAAAUAUUGUUAGAUCCUAUAGUAUAUCAAAGUCACCCAGUGGAAGGGGAAGCUGAGCUGCCUCCUGGUUCAGCUGGAGAUGAUGGGAGCAGGCAAACACUUCCCUGGGCUGCAGUGCCAGCAGAAAGGAGCUCAGGACCGUGGCCAACUCCCUCUGCAAGGGCUUCUGGACCUGCCUCAGCCUGAGGAGAGACACUGGAACAGUGAGAGGCCACAAAAUCCACUUGCCUUGAAAAGGGAAGAUUGAGGAAGGGGUUUAUAGAAAUUUCUCUGAAUAUCUGCA